rnacentral:rRNA from 1 species
AUUGAACGCUGGCGGCAGGCCUAACACAUGCAAGUCGAGCGGAUGAAGGGAGCUUGCUCCUGGAUUCAGCGGCGGACGGGUGAGUAAUGCCUAGGAAUCUGCCUGGUAGUGGGGGAUAACGUCCGGAAACGGGCGCUAAUACCGCAUACGUCCUGAGGGAGAAAGUGGGGGAUCUUCGGACCUCACGCUAUCAGAUGAGCCUAGGUCGGAUUAGCUAGUUGGUGGGGUAAAGGCCUACCAAGGCGACGAUCCGUAACUGGUCUGAGAGGAUGAUCAGUCACACUGGAACUGAGAAACGAACCAGACUCCUACGGGAGGCAGCAGGGGGGAAUUUUGGACAAGGGGCGAAAACCUUACCCAGCCAUGGCGGGGGUGUGAAGGAGGUCUUCGGUUUUUAAAGCCUUUUAAGUUGGGAGGAGGGGCAGUAAGUUAAAACCUGGUUGUUUUGACGUUACCAAUAAAAUGAGCACCGGCUAACUUCGU